rnacentral:misc_RNA from 1 species
GGAAGGAUCAUUAUCCUUUAGCGUGGUAUUCUACACACAGAAUACUACAAGCGCACGCACAUUUGUGUUUUGCGUAAAAUUGCACAACGAUACUGCCUAGUUUGUUAUCGUUUUCUAAAAUCCAUGCUUGCCUCAGUAUGGUCGGGUACCUCAGUGCUUGCAUUAAUCAUUAAUGCAAAUACAAAAGCGAUAGAUGCUUACUGCUAUCGUGUGGUGUAAAGAUUAUGCAAGCUUUUGUGUAACGCCCGCUCAGCAACAAUUUUGUCAUACAAAUUUUUAACGCAUUUAUCUAUGUUGUAUGUGUAAAGCACUAUGUCUUAUAACUUAAUAAGAUAAUAACACAAAUACAACCCUAUGCGGUGGAUCAUUUGGCUCGCGAGUCGAUGAAGAGCGCAGCAAACUGCGUGAAUUAAUGUGAUUUGCAGGACACAUUGAUCAUCGAUAUCUUGAACGCACAUUGCGGUUACGGACUCUUCCGUAACCACGCCUGUCUGAGGGUCGGUUUUUAUGUGUAAACAUGUGAAAAGUGUAAUUUCUUACACUUUUGCUCGGUCGUUAAAUAUGUAAUGUAUUUAUCGAUUUCAGAUAGAUGACUACUGAACUAAUUCAGUUGUAGUGCACAAUGCUUUCUCCAUUGAUGCUGUAUUUCUGGUUGCUAUACGCAAACAAAAAUUGCUUAGCUUUUACUAAUUUGUUUGUGUUCGUGCAGCAAGUGUACAGGUAUCUCAUUUACAGGUGGAUAUAGCAAAUUGAUUGUGUAGUAUACCAAACUUAAUCAUAUUUCGACCUCAGAUCAGACGAGACUACCCGCUGAAUUUAAGCAUAUAAUUAAGCGGAGGAAAAGAAACUAACCAGGAUUCCUUUAGUAACGGCGAGUGAACAAGGAUUAGCCCAUCACCGAAUCCUUUCUGAUCUUCAGAUAAGGAGUUGUGGUGUAAAGGACAAUCUUCGUUAUACUAUUAUCGACCCAAGUUCUCUUGAAUGGGGCUUUACCAGAGCGGGUGUCAGUCCUUUAGCGGUCGAUUAAUAAUGUAACAUUGAUUGUCCCGAGAGUCGGGUUGCUUGAGAUCGCAGUCCUAAGACGGGUGGUAAACUCCAUCCAAGGCUAAAUACCGUCGCGAGACCGAUAGCGAACAAGUACCGUGAGGGAAAAUUUAAAAGAACUUUGAAGAGAGAGUUAAAUAGUACGUGAAACCGUAUAGGGGUAAACGGGUGGAAGCGCUAAAUCAAAACAAAGAAUUCAAAUUAACAUUAGCUCGUUAUGUGACGCAAUACAUAGUUCAUGCUAGUAUUGCUUGCAGUCACGUUCAAUGUUGGUUGCACUUUCUUUGUUUUGAGCGCCUCGACAGAUUGCUGUGUGCGCGCACUUUAAAGAUUGUAAUUAGGUAGUGUGAUUCGUCACAAACUAAUAAAUUAUAAUUUAUACGUACACGGCGAUCUUGGACUAUAAGCUUGAAGUAUCAGCGCAAGCGAGAUAUUUGUUUAUGCGGUGGUUCGAUCUGAAUUCUACUCCCUAGUGAGUCAAUUCUAAUCUGACUAUCGCAAUUUUCAAAUUUUCUCAUGAUACUUUAGUCAGAGGUGAACGGUCGUACGUCUACCCGACCCGUCUUGAAACACGGACCAAGGAGUCUAGCAUGUGCGCAAGUCAUUGGGUUUUACGAAACCUAAAGGCGAAAUGAAAGUAAAAGCUAGCCUAGUUAGCUUAGGUGUGAUCCAGUGAAAACUGUCGCAACACCGUCCGGUCAUAAUUGCUUAGCAAUGUGGCUGCGAAAGAGCGUACACGCUGGGACCCGAAAGAUGGUGAACUAUGCCUGAGCAGGAUGAAGCCAGAAGAAAUUCUGGUGGAGGUCCGCAGCGGUUCUGACGUGCAAAUCGAUCGUCAAACUUGGGUAUAGGGGCGAAAGACUAAUCGAACCAUCUAGUAGCUGGUUCCCUC